GACGAACGCUGGCGGCGUGCUUAACACAUGCAAGUCGAACGGAAAGGCCCCUUUGGGGGUACUCGAGUGGCGAACGGGUGAGUAACACGUGAGUAACCUGCCCUUGACUUCGGGAUAACUUCAGGAAACUGGGGCUAAUACCGGAUAGGAAUCCUUGCUGCAUGGUGGGGGUUGGAAAGCUUCGGCGGUUUUGGAUGGACUCGCGGCUUAUCAGCUUGUUGGUGGGGUAGUGGCUUACCAAGGCUUUGACGGGUAGCCGGCCUGAGAGGGCGACCGGCCACAUUGGGACUGAGAUACGGCCCAGACUCCGACGGGAGGCAGCAGGGGGGAAUAUUGCACAAUGGGCGGAAGCCUGAUGCAGCAACGCCGCGGGCGGGAUGACGGCCUUCGGGUUGGAAACCGCUUUCAGCAGGGGCGAAGCUUGUGGUGACGGUACCUGCAGAAGAAGCACCGGCUAACUACGUG
rnacentral:rRNA from 1 species